rnacentral:rRNA from 1 species
AUUGAACGCUGGCGGCAGGCCUAACACAUGCAAGUCGAGCGCGCGGCGGACGCGUGAGUAAUGUAUGGGGAUCUCCGCGAUAUAGGGGGAUAUCUCCUGGAAACAGUGGCUAAUACCCCAUACUCCCUGAUGACCCAUAUGGGCUUUGCUAGUAGGUAAGGUAAUGGCUUACCUAGGCGACGAUCCCUAGCUGUUCUGAGAGGAUGAUCAGCCACACUGGGACUGAGGCACGGCCCAGACUCCUACGGGAGGCAGCAGUGAGGAAUAUUGGUGAAUGGGCGGUAGCCUGAACCAGCCAAGUAGCGGGAAGAAUGAAGGUCUAUGGGUCGUAAACUUCUGUGAUAUAAGAAUAUGUAUUAGAUGAAGAAGGAUCGGCUAACUCCGUGCCAGCAGCCGCGGUAAUUC